rnacentral:rRNA from 1 species
GACAGAGGGUGCAAACGUUGUUCGGAAUUACUGGGCGUAAAGCGCGUGUAGGCUGCUUCGCAAGUCGGAUGUGAAAGCCCUGGGCUCAACCCAGGAAGUGCAUUCGAAACUGCAGAGCUGGAGUCCUGGAGAGGAAGGCGGAAUUCUCGGUGUAGAGGUGAAAUUCGUAGAUAUCGAGAGGAACACCGGUGGCGAAGGCGGCCUUCUGGACAGUGACUGACGCUGAGAACGCGAAAGCGUGGGGAGCAAACAGG